rnacentral:rRNA from 1 species
AGUGAACGCUGGCGGCGUGCCUAAUACAUGCAAGUCGAACGGUGUGGCGCGCGGGUGUGUAAUAUAUAUCUACUCUGCCACUUUCUGGAAGACCACUGUUAGAAAUGUCUUCUAAUACUCUAUAGCAGGGGAUGGGACUAUUUCGUAUCAGCUAGUCGGUGGGGUAACGGCCUACAGAGGCUAUGACGCGUAACUGGUCUGAGAGGAUGAUCAGUCACAUUGGAACUGAGACACGGUCCAAACUCCUACGGGAGGCAGCAGUAGGGAAUAUUGCUCAAUGGGGGAAACCCUGACGCAGCAACGCCGCGUGGAGGAUGACACUUUUCGGAGCGUAAACUCCUUUUGUUAGGGAAGCGGUACCUAACGAAUAAGCACCGGCUAACUCCGUGCCAGCAGCCGCGGUAAUAC